rnacentral:lncRNA from 1 species
CCCUGGUUUGCAUAAAACUGCACAUUCAAUUAGAAAGGAGAUUUUACAAUGCUUCUCACCAAAGUGGGGUGGUGGUGAUGGGGUGGGGGCUCUGAGUGUGGCUUGAUAAUCUGUCUGCCUGCUGGGACUACUGCACUUGUCUAUGAGCUCACUGUGGCAUGGCACUUUUGAGGUUCCUGAUCUCCCUCCUUAGGGUUUUGUUGUUGUUGUUGUCAGAAUCCUACUAAAAACUGCACAUGCAACAGAAAUCAUGCCCGCAUUUAGGAAGGCAGCCAUCAUGUGACCAAUUUUGCAGACAGCCCCAAAAGUUGGGAACCACUUGUGUGAUUACUAUUCUGUUGAUAUGCUCAAUGACACUUUCAUUGUUCAACUCUUCAAAUGGAGACCACCUUCAAAGUGAAGAUUGUCCCCUUCAGAUACAAGACAUAAGAAAGUCCCUUGGAAGUUCCCCUCUUUUCAGUCAAUGGGAAGAAAGAAGAAAGCGACAAAGCAAGACUGUAGUUGAACAUUAAGAGGAUUGACUCUAUAGGAAGCUACAGUUUGCAAGAACUGGGCUGUUGAGGACACAACAUUUUGGAGACCAUUCAUUCAUAGCAUCGCUGUAAGUCAGAGGCAACUUAAUAGAACAUAACAACAAUAGCAAUAACAGACAACCACAUCACCAUCAUUGUCAUGUAAAUUUGUUUCCCUCCCUCCUCUUAAUCUGCCAGACCUUUUCUCCAGCUCUUGUCCUUGGUAUUCAAUGCCCAACUCUUUUAUCCCUUAUUGAUCCUUCUCCCAUAUCUGUAGUUAACUUGGUUUUGCAAGAAAGCCAUAAUUUCCACAAAAAGGUUUUAUAGCUGAGCAAUAGAAAAGAUUAUAAUGUUAGCCUUUUGUGUAGCCUUGGAAAAGGAGUAUAAGGGAAGAUGCCCCCUUCCUCUCUGCUUUUCUCAGAAUACAUCAACUCUUUCCCUUUCUGUGAGGUAUGUAUGUCCCUUUUUUUUUCCCCCUUGGGAGCUGACUUUCUUCACCUCUGUGAUAAAAGAAGGCA